CCUACGGGAGGCAGCAGUGGGGAAUAUUGCACAAUGGGGGAAACCCUGAUGCAGCAACGCCGCGUGAGUGAAGAAGUAUUUCGGUAUGUAAAGCCCUAUCAGCAGGGAAGAAGAUGACGGUACGUGAGUAAGCAGCCCCGGCUAACUCCGUGCCAGCAGCCGCGGUCAUACGUAGGGCGCAAGCGUUAUCCGGAUUUACUGGGUGUAAAGGGAGCGUAGACGGGGAGACAAGGCUGAAGUGAAAGCCCGGGGCUCAACCCCGGGACUGCUUUGGAAACUGCCGGACUGGAGUGCGGGAGAGGCAAGCGGAAUUCCUAGUGUAGCGGUGAAAUGCGUAGAUAUUAGGAAGAACACCAGUGGCGAAGGCAGCUUGCUGGACAGUAACUGACGUUGAGGCUCGAAAGCGUGGGGAGCGAACAGGAUUAGAUACCCGUGUAGUC
rnacentral:rRNA from 1 species